rnacentral:rRNA from 1 species
AACGUAGGAGACAAACGUUAUCCGGAGUUACUGGGCGUAAAGGGCGUGUAGGUGGUUUAGUAAGUCUGGCGUGAAAUUUUUCGGCUUAACCGGGAAAGGUCGUCGGAUACUGCUGAGCUAGAGGACGGUAGAGGCGUGUGGAAUUCCGGGUGUAGUGGUGAAAUGCGUAGAGAUCCGGAGGAACACCAGUGGCGAAGGCGACACGCUGGGCCGUACCUGACACUGAUGCGCGACAGCAUGGGGAGCAAACGAGG